GCCAGGAAUGCGUCCGGGGAGGGCGCGCGGUGGGCGCGCGCCAGCCUCGGGGACGCGCGCCCAGGUCUGAAGAGUGGAGGCCGGGCUCCCCUGCUGCGGGCGCACGGUCCCCGGGGACGUCACAACGCUGGAAUCCGAGGAAUGCCAGGCUGCGGGAGCUCCGUCGGCAGGCCGGGCAGAAGUCGUGCACUUUUAAUGGGCUAGCUCUGGAGCGUGUCUUCCUUCCAAGAGUGGACUCUGUCCUUGAACAGGAACCAGCCCUCACAUCUACAUUCCCAAACAAAAGCAUCGGGCUGAGUCAUGAGCCCAGGAUGGGAAGGAAGAUUCUCACAAAUGAGAGGCCCAGGGGUGAUCUGGCAGAAGCUGUAUUUCAGGGAAUAUCUUUAUCUGUUCGGGAUCUGGACGACUCUCGACAAGCAUUUACUGAAAGUUUGAAUGAGUAGGGGCUGGGGACACAGCUCGAUGGGCGAAGUGCUGGCAGCCCAUGCCUGAAGACCAGACGUCAGUGUCUUCCAAGUGCCUGGAAGAAGGAGGCAGGAAGACCCCAGGCUCGCUGGCUGGCCAGGCUGGCCUGUUAUGCAGGAUCCAGGCCAGUUCCAGACCCUGCUUUACAAAACAAGACAGCUGGAUCUUGAAGAAAAUUUUAAGUUGAGCCCAGGGCUCAUAUACAUACGUGUGUAUGCACUAAGUAUCUGUUAAUAUAUAAAUAAUGUGAAUGUAUUGGCAGCCAUCCUCUUGUUUCCAGCAUUCCACUCCUGUUAUUUAAUCUUAU
rnacentral:lncRNA from 1 species